UGACUGAGCGGCGGACGGGUGAGUAACGCGUGGGUAACCUGCCUUAUACAGGGGGAUAACAGUUAGAAAUGACUGCUAAUACCGCAUAAGCGCACAGUACCGCAUGGUACGGUGUGAAAAACUCCGGUGGUAUAAGAUGGACCCGCGUCUGAUUAGCCAGUUGGCGGGGUAACGGCCCACCAAAGCGACGAUCAGUAGCCGACCUGAGAGGGUGACCGGCCACAUUGGGACUGAGACACGGCCCAAACUCCUACGGGAGGCAGCAG
rnacentral:rRNA from 1 species